rnacentral:rRNA from 1 species
CCUACGGGAGGCAGCAGUGGGGAAUAUUGCGCAAUGGGGGCAACUCUGACGCAGCAACGCCGCGUGAUUGAAGAAGGCCUUCGGGUUGUAAAGAUCUUUAAUCGGGGACGAAUUUUGACUGUACCCGAAGAAUAAGCUCCGGCUAACUACGUGCCAGCAGCCGCGGCAAUACGGAGGGAGCAAGCGUUAUCCGGACUUACUGGGUGUAAAGGGCGUGUAGGCGGGAAGGCAAGCCAGAAGUGAAACCGGGGGGCUUAACCCCCGAACUGCUUUUGGAACUGCGUGUCUUGAGUGAUGGAGAGGCAGGCGGAAUUCCAAGUGUAGGAGUGAAAUGCGUAGAUAUUGGGAGGAACACCAGUGGCGAAGGCGGCCUGCUGGACAUUAACUGACGCUGAGGCGCGAAAGCGUGGGGAGCAAACAGGAUUAGAUACCCUAGUAGUC